rnacentral:lncRNA from 1 species
CAAGUUAGGAAUAUGACAGUUGUUUUCCAUUCGUUAGAUUUGUUUGAGAUUUUGAUUUUGCCAUUUGACAAGGAAUUCCUUAGAGUUUGUUAGUUAACUUGUUUGUAACUCCCCAUUGUACAGUUAUCAACUAAACAGCAGUUCAAUAUGUACAGUAAAUAAUAAAUAAAAAAAAAACAGUCCAAGCAACAACUAUAGUAUCUGAUUUCGGCAAGACAGCUGCACAGACAUUGGUAACGUUAUAUGUUCAGGCCACUACAGCAGCCUUAAGAGAAGUGAAUAUGUAAAGAUCACUUCAGAUGGACAGGACUGCACAUCAAGAUAUAACUACAUAAAAUAUUGCCCGAAAAACUAUGAAACUAAAUAAAUUAGGCCUAUCUCAAACAGUCAAGUAUUUUAUACAAUAAAGAUUGCACUCUAUCGUUAAAAGGGGAGAAUGCAUAUAUAUAUUAAAAAAAAGCAUAAAAAGUUAAAGAAAAGCAGGAGGAACACGUACCAUGUCUAAUGGAUUAUCGACGAGGAGACAAACACUUAACUAAUUUGUUUAUGAUUGAGCAACAUGAACCACA